GUAGAUCUCCAGUUGUCCCAGCAGCAGUUUUUGAAAAGGUUAUUCUUUCCUGGCACACUUGUCAAAAAUCACCUGACAAAUUUUAAGACUUUUCAUAGUGGACUAAACAUACUGUGAGAUCCUCAUGUGUGAAGCAUCCAUCAAGCCACUUUGGUGAAGAAUGUAUUAGAGAGGUCUUGACUCCACUAACCAGGACUCCAUGCGGUUUUGAGGUUGGACUUCAGCAGCACAAGGAAAUGUAGCUGGGCAGCUUGUAGUGGAAAGCGGAUGGACAGGUCUGCAUCACACCAUUUAGGUGC
rnacentral:lncRNA from 1 species